GGAUAUGUCAUGACGAAAGUCUGACCAGCCAAAUCGCGUGACGAGAAGGUAUAUGUAUCGUAAACUCUUUUGUAAGAGAGUAAAGUGCACUACGUGUAGUGUAUGCAAGUACCUUACGAAUAAGCAUCGGCUAAUUCCGUGCCAGCAGCCGCGGUAAUACGGAAGAUGCAAGUGUUAUCCGGAUUUAUUGGGUUUAGAGGGUGCGUAGGUGGUCUAAUAGGUCAGUGGUGAAAUCUCUUUGCUUAACAAGGAAAUUGCCAUUGAAACUGUUAGACUUGAGAAUGGACGAGGUAGGCGGAAUUCGUAGUGUAGCGGUGAAAUGCAUAGAUAUUACGAAGAACUCCAAUAGUGUAGACUGCUUACCAGACCAUAUCUGACACUAAGGCACGAAAGUGUGGGUAUCAAACAGGAUUAGAUACCCUGGUAGUCCACACAGUAAACGAUGAAUACUAACUGUUUGCGAUAUACAGCAAGUGGUCGAGCGAAAGCGUUAAGUAUUCCACCUGGGAAGUAUGCCGGCAACGGUGAAACUCAAAGGAAUUGACGGGGGCCCGCACAAGCGGAGGAACAUGUGGUUUAAUUCGAUAAUACGCGAGGAACCUUACCCGGGCUCGAACGAUAUUUGAAUACAUCCGAAAAGAUGUAGCUAGCAAUAGCAAAUACCGAGGUGCUGCAUGGUUGUCGUCAGCUCGUGCCGUGAGGUGUCGACUUAAGUGUCAUAACGAGCGCAACCCUUACCGAUAGUUACCAUCAGAUAAUGCUGGGGACUCUAUUGGGACUGCCACCGUAAGGUGUGAGGAAGGAGAGGAUGACGUCAAAUCAGCACGGCCCUUAUGUCCGGGGCGACACACGUGUUACAAUGGGAGAAACAAAGGGUCGCUACCUGGCAACAGGAUGCUAAUCUCGAAAAUCUCUCUCAGUUCGGAUUGGAGUCUGCAACUCGACUCCAUGAAGCUGGAUUCGCUAGUAAUCGCACAUCAGCCAUGGUGCGGUGAAUACGUUCCCGGGCCUUGUACACACCGCCCGUCAAGCCAUGGAAGCUGGAAGUACCUGAAGUAUGUAACUGAAAAGAGCGU
rnacentral:rRNA from 1 species